CUUGUGUCGUCACCAGAUCUCUUAAAAAGAUGGAACCUCAGCGGCGCUUCCUCGUAGCAAGCCUAGUGGCGGGUGUUUGCGUUGAAACGUGAGCGCGACCCGACCUUAAAGGGAAGGGAGCAAAGGAAGGACAGAGCCCUUUAAAACGAGGCGGGUGGUGCCUGCCCCUUUAAGGGUGGGGCAUCCGGACGGCUGUAUCUGAGCCCCAGACUGCCCCGAGUUUCUGUUGCAGGCUGCGAAGAAAGGCUCCUACACUGGGUCCGGGUGCUCGGCGGCGGCGGCUUCCUCCCCGCUUGUCCUCCCCGGGCCCGGAGGCACCCCGGCUCCAGUCAUGCUGAGCAGAGUAUGGAAGCACCUGACUACGAAGUGCUAUCCGUGCGAGAACAGCUAUUCCACGAGAGGAUCCGCGAGUGCAUUAUCUCAACACUUCUGUUUGCAACACUGUACAUCCUCUGCCACAUCUUCCUGACCCGCUUUAAGAAGCCUGCUGAGUUCACCACAGUGGAUGAUGAAGAUGCCACAGUCAACAAGAUUGCGCUCGAGCUGUGCACCUUUACCCUGGCAAUUGCCCUGGGUGCUGUCCUGCUCCUGCCCUUCUCCAUCAUCAGCAAUGAGGUGCUACUCUCCUUGCCUCGGAACUACUACAUCCAGUGGCUCAACGGCUCCCUCAUCCAUGGCCUCUGGAACCUUGUUUUUCUCUUCUCCAACCUGUCCCUCAUCUUCCUCAUGCCCUUUGCAUAUUUCUUCACUGAGUCCGAGGGCUUUGCUGGCUCCAGAAAGGGUGUCCUGGGCCGGGUCUAUGAGACAGUGGUGAUGUUGAUGCUCCUCACUCUGCUGGUGCUAGGUAUGGUGUGGGUGGCAUCAGCCAUUGUGGAUAACAACAAGGCCAGCAGAGAGUCACUCUAUGACUUCUGGGAGUACUAUCUCCCCUACCUCUACUCAUGCAUCUCCUUCCUUGGGGUUCUGCUGCUCCUGGUGUGUACUCCACUGGGUCUCGCCCGCAUGUUCUCCGUCACUGGGAAGCUGCUGGUCAAGCCCCGGUUGCUGGAAGACCUGGAGGAGCAGCUGUACUGCUCAGCCUUUGAGGAGGCAGCCCUGACCCGCAGGAUCUGUAAUCCUACUUCCUGCUGGCUGCCUUUAGACAUGGAGCUGCUACACAGACAGCUCCUGGCUCUGCAGACACAGAGGGUCCUGCUGGAGAAGCGGCGGAAGGCUUCAGCCUGGCAACGGAACCUGGGCUACCCCCUGGCUAUGCUGUGCUUGCUGGUGCUGACGGGCCUGUCUGUGCUCAUUGUGGCCAUCCACAUCCUGGAGCUGCUCAUCGAUGAGGCUGCCAUGCCCCGAGGCAUGCAGGGUGCCUCCUUAGGCCAGGUCUCCUUCUCCAAGCUGGGCUCCUUUGGUGCCGUCGUUCAGGUUGUACUCAUCUUGUAUCCUUCUGGAAUACAAAAACCUGUCUCCUGGGACUCUAGACAGCACUUCUUGGACUUUGUCUCCUUUGGGACUCUGAGCAACACUGAUGGGAAAUGGGCUCUCCACUCUUCCGGAGCCUGCGGCCCAGAUGGCAUGACACCGCCAUGACGCAGAUAAUUGGGAACUGUGUCUGUCUCCUGGUCCUAAGCUCAGCACUUCCUGUCUUCUCUCGAACCCUAGGGCUCACUCGCUUUGACCUGCUGGGUGACUUUGGACGCUUCAACUGGCUGGGCAAUUUCUACAUUGUGUUCCUCUACAACGCAGCCUUUGCAGGCCUCACCACACUCUGUCUGGUGAAGACCUUCACUGCAGCUGUGCGGGCAGAGCUGAUCCGGGCCUUCGGGUUGGACAGACUGCCACUGCCCGUCUCUGGUUUCCCCCGGGCAUCUAGGAAGACCCAGCACCAGUGACCUCCAGCUGGGGGUGGGAGGGAGAAAACUGGACACUGCCAUCUGCUGCCUAGGCCUGGAGGGAAGCCCAAGGCUAGCUGGACCUCAGGACCUGGAAUCUGAGAGGGUGGGUGGCAGAGGGGAGCAGAGCCAUCUGCACUGUUGCAUAAUCUGAGCCAGAGUUUGGGACCAGGACCUCCUGCUUUUCCAUACUUAACUGUGGCCUCAGCAUGGGGUAGAGCUGGGUGACUGGGUCUAGCCCCUGGUCCCAAAUCUGUUUACACAUCAAUCUGCCUCACUGCUGUUCUGGGCCAUGCCCAUAGCCAUGUUUACAUGAUUUGAUGUGCAAUAGGGUAGGGUGGGGACAGGGAAAGGACUGGGCCAGGCCAGGCUCGGGAGAUAGAUUGUCUCCCUUGGUUCUGGCCCAGCAGAGCCUAAGCACUGUGCUAUCCUGGAGGGGCUUUGGACCACCUGAAAGACUAAGGGGAUAGGAGGAGGCUUCACCCAUCAGCAAUAAAGUUGAUCCCAGGAUUUGCUUUGUUUUUUUUAAA